GGACUACCGGGGUUUCUAAUCCUGUUCGCUCCCCACGCUUUCGCUCCUCAGCGUCAGUUCCGGCCCAGCCCACCGCCUUCGCCACCGGUGUUCUUCCUGAUAUCUGCGCAUUUCACCGCUACACCAGGAGUUCCGUGGGCCCCUACCGGACUCUAGCCAUGGCAGUAUCGGGUGGCAUCUCCAAGUUGAGCCUGGAGGUUUCACACCCGACUAACCAAGCCGCCUACGAGCUCUUUACGCCCAAUAAUUCCGGACAACGCUUGCCCCCUACGUAUUACCGCGGCUGCUGGCAC
rnacentral:rRNA from 1 species